rnacentral:sRNA from 1 species
GCCGGGCAUGGUGGUGCAUGCCUUUAAUCCCAGCACUCGGAAGGCAGAGGCAGGUGGAUCUCUGUGAGUUCAAGGCCAGCCUGGUCUACAUAGUGAGUUCCAGGACAGCUGGGGCUACAGAGAGACCCUGUCUCAAAAAGACCCCCUCAAGAAAAACAAAUUUUGUUUUGUUUUCUGAGACGGGGUCUCACUAUAGCCCCAGCUGUCGUGGAACUCACUAUGUAGAUCAGGCUGGCCUUUGAACUAACUCACAGGCCUGCCUCU